GAUGGAUACAGAAAGGUCCACUAGAUGUCGUGGGACCGUAUGACAAAACCGAAAAGGGAUGGGGGUAUUAGUUUCAGAUAAAUGCACCUCUUUAACUAGGCACUCCUCGCAAAGCAAGGGUGGAGACUGAUCCAGAACCCUGAUAGCCUCUGUGCGAGAGUGCUUAAGUCAAAGUACUACCCUAAUGGAAAUAUCCUAGACACCGUCUAUGCGUCAUAUGUUUCACCGGUGUGGAGGGGCAUCGAGUUUGGUUUGCAGCUUCUGAAAAAGGGAUAA
rnacentral:rRNA from 1 species